AUGACUCAAGAGCAAGUACUUAAUUUGGAAGGUGAAGGAACUGCUGGUAGCUCUCUGUACAGCAGCUGUAUAAAUACCGCUCAGGCAGACUUCUUGGCAAAUACAGCAAGGCUGCUACAAACAGCCAAAAACAAAGCGGAAUUGUUCUAGGAAAUAAAUUACUUGAACAGCGGAGGAGACUUUGCCCUAUUUGAUAUGGAAAGCACAGCCAUGGGUAUGGAUAUCAGAGCCUCAGAGUUAGGAGCUGCUCCAAGCCUUCUUCCCUAGAUGCCUCACACCCCUCCUGGACAACUUCCAAGUAUCACAGCUCUGGAUGGCCACUCAUCUUCUGUGUACAGACUCCAACCCAGCUGAAACCCAUUUCAUGAAAUGUACUUUAUAUAAACCUAAUUUAUUAAAGA
rnacentral:lncRNA from 10 species